AUGACGACACAGCCACGCCGCGCUCCCAUUGGCUGCGCGCUUUUUGGGGUGCUGCUCCCCCACUCCCGGUCCCCCCAGUUGGGCGCCGCUUUCCCGGGAGCAGCACCGGCCCUUCCCCGUGUCCCGGGAGCCCGAGGCGCCAUGGACGGAGCGCGGAGCCUCCCGCGGCUGCUGCCGCUGCUGGCCCUGACCCUGCCCGCGGGUUGGGGGGUCCAAGGUUCCUCCUCCUUGUUCUGGUUUGGCACCGGCACAACGCCAGCGCCCCAUGAAAAUCCAACCGAUCGAUGGAACGCUGUGAAACGCCAUCGGGAACGGAGCAAAGCAGCCCCAACUUAAUAACAAAGGAAAGACUUUAUUACACCACUACUGCUACUGCUAUAAAAGGAAAAGAAAGGGAAGGAAAAUAAACCACACAAAAU